GUCUCUGUUCCAGAAAAGCCUUUGCACCCACUUUGUCAUAGCUUUCCUGACCUCCCAAGGCCAGUGCAUCAAAACAGAGUCACCAUCUUGGGAAUGGUGUGUCUGCUCCCAAGUGAGCGGCAGGGUGCGGGGGGGCUGUCAGGAAAAUGGUAGGAAAUGCCUGAGCAGAAACAAACAGCUGGCUCUCAUUAUAGCAUUGAGCAUCGGGCCUGCACCCCAACAGGACGCUGUGCAUUCUUACUGGGUGAAUUAAUGAAUGCCCAGGACUCCUAAGGGCGUGAGAAGAAAUAUACAGGUGCUUCUGCACACAGCCUCUGGCAGUGGCAUGCCUUCUGUUCUCUGGUGGUACACGUGAAAUACAGAAUGGCUGAAAAUGUACAUCCUAAGACUGGCAAGACAAUGCGGAUUUCACUGAACAAAUCAGGAUUGCUACGACAGUGGUUCUCACACUCGAGCGGACAAUGGUAUCCCCUAGAAGGCUUACUGAAACAGGCUGCUGCGCCCAUCUUCAACGUUUCUGAUUCAAAGGUCUGAGCACCCUGAAACCUCAGGAUUUGCCGGACUGCGCCCACACCUAAAACAACAAACGGAUUCCCCAUUCCAAGCCGGAACUAAGAUAAGACGAACCUACAUCCGGCGCCUGGCGCAUCCCAGUACGUC
ensembl:lncRNA